CAGCUUUGUAGUUUAAUUUGUUAGAAUCUUAAUUUUGGGGGUUAAGGGUCUCUUNGUUUUGUUGGAGUUGGCUGG
rnacentral:tRNA from 1 species